rnacentral:rRNA from 1 species
CAGCCGCCGCGGGAAUACGAAGGGGGCUAGCGUUGUUCGGAUUUACUGGGCGUAAAGCGCACGUAGGCGGACUUUUAAGUCAGGGGUGAAAUCCCGGGGCUCAACCCCGGAACUGCCUUUGAUACUGGGAGUCUUGAGUUCGAGAGAGGUGAGUGGAAUUGCGAGUGUAGAGGUGAAAUUCGUAGAUAUUCGCAGGAACACAAGUGGCGAAGGCGGCUCACUGGCUCGAUACUGACGCUGAGGUGCGAAAGCGUGGGGAGCAAACAGGAUUAGAUACCCGGGUAGUCCCUGUCUCUUAUAC